rnacentral:rRNA from 1 species
CAAUAGCGUAUAUUAAUGUUGUUGCAGUUAAAAAGCUCGUAGUUGGAUUUCUGGUGGGAGCGGCCGGUCCGCCGUAAGGUGUGUACUUGGUUGUCUCCUGUCAUCCUUGUGGGAACUGCUCUGGCAUUAAGUUGUCGGGGUUAGGGAACACAUCGUUUACUGUGAAAAAAUUAGAGUGUUUAAAGCAGGCUUAUGCCGUUGAAUACAUUAGCAUGGAAUAAUAAGAUAGGACUUUGGCGUCUAUUUUGUUGGUUUGCACACCAAGGUAAUGAUUAAUAGGGAUAGUUGGGGGUAUUCGUAUUUAAUUGUCAGAGGUGAAAUUCUUGGAUUUAUGAAAGACGAACUUCUGCGAAAGCAUUUGCCAAAGAUGUUUUCAUUAA